CUUCAGUUCUAAUGGCUGCAGAGCCACCGCUCUCUGAGCGAUGCGAUAAUUUUCUAGGUUUUUCGAUUCUUCGAUCUAAAGGAGACGGAUCUUCUUAAAUCGGCGUGACGAUUCGGUUCGUUGAGGGUUUCGAUCAUGUCCUUGCACCUUCUUCCAUCAAUCGCAACGAAAUUCUUCCAGAUCCAUCGGGUAUAAAAAGGAAGAUCGUUAAAGGAUUCUGACAUGGUGGAGAUCGCUCCUCCUGCGUUUGCUUCGGGUUCGACAACUCUAGAAAUCCAAAAAGAAACAGGGCUUCUCAAACUUGGGAGUGUAGGCUUCCAUGGAGGUAACGUGAUUGUAGAUCAGAAUGACAUAAACAGAUGCUGGAGCGCUCCCCAAAAGAGUUGGACAACCCUUGAGUCAGUUAAUGUGCACAUUAAGAUGAUGCAAAGGUGAAUGUCUGAAGCUCAGUCUUCGGUUGCAAAAGCUGAGAAAGAUAAUGAUGAAAAGUAUGAACCAUCAUCUCAGGCUCUCAGCUAUCACAUUGCUUCUCAGGUCUUUCUCUGUCUCUCUUUCUCUAUAUUUCUAAUUGUCCCAAAACUUUUACAUAAGAUAGACGAUGCUAUAUAUAGGAGAUUCACUAAUUUUCUUGGUGCAUCUUUGAAGAAUCUUCUGAACAUAUGUGUCUGUAUAUACUUCUACAAUGUUUAGUCUAAUGAUGGUCUUAAUUAGCGAACAUACUUUUUUCUGGGAUUACAAAACUUGAAUUCCUAAAAUCUAUCUUCACUUUAAACUUGUGAAGAGUAUCACUCUAAACGACGUAUUUUAUUUAUCGUUGUAGUACAUUGGAUUUCCAUUACGUCUGGUUGCAAUCGCUCUCUCUCUAUGUGAUCUAGCUAGCAUAUAUGUGCCGUAGCUGUAAUGUAUUGUAUGAUCUCUCAAAAAAAAUUCUGUAUUAAUUGACUUCACGUAUGGAAAUGAAUGUUGUUAUUAGAUGAGAACAUGUUAGUGUAAAUUUGGUUUCACCUGUUGACUUCACCGGUCUAUUCUUUCAUGGUGUACAAGCUCUAGGGAUGUUAACUACAGGGUUAGGGCUCAGCCCUCUUUUGUUUAUUAUAAGCUCAGCCCUAUUUUAACCC